rnacentral:rRNA from 1 species
CAACUAGGAUGUUGGCUUAGAAGCAGCCAUCAUUUAAAGAGUGCGUAAUAGCUCACUAGUCGAGUGACACUGCGCCGAAAAUGUACCGGGGCUAAACAUAUUACCGAAGCUGUGGAUUGUCCUUUGGACAAUGGUAGGAGAGCGUUCUAAGGGCGUUGAAGCAUGAUCGUAAGGACAUGUGGAGCGCUUAGAAGUGAGAAUGCCGGUGUGAGUAGCGAAAGACGGGUGAGAAUCCCGUCCACCGAUUGACUAAGGUUUCCAGAGGAAGGCUCGUCCGCUCUGGGUUAGUCGGGUCCUAAGCUGAGGCCGACAGGCGUAGGCGAUGGAUAACAGGUUGAUAUUCCUGUACCACCUAUAAUCGUUUUAAUCGAUGGGGGGACGCAGUAGGAUAGGCGAAGCGUGCGAUUGGAUUGCACGUCUAAGCAGUAAGGCUGAGUAUUAGGCAAAUCCGGUACUCGUUAAGGCUGAGCUGUGAUGGGGAGAAGACAUUGUGUCUUCGAGUCGUUGAUUUCACACUGCCGAGAAAAGCCUCUAGAUAGAAAAUAGG